AGUGAACGCUGGCGGUAGGCCUAACACAUGCAAGUCGAACGGCAGCACAGUAAGAGCUUGCUCUUACGGGUGGCGAGUGGCGGACGGGUGAGGAAUACAUCGGAAUCUACUUUUUCGUGGGGGAUAACGUAGGGAAACUUACGCUAAUACCGCAUACGACCUACGGGUGAAAGCAGGGGAUCUUCGGACCUUGCGCGAUUGAAUGAGCCGAUGUCGGAUUAGCUAGUUGGCGGGGUAAAGGCCCACCAAGGCGACGAUCCGUAGCUGGUCUGAGAGGAUGACAGGCCACAUUGAACUGAGACACGGUCCAGACUCCUACGGGAGGCAGCAGUGGGGAAUAUUGGACAAUGGGCGCAAGCCUGAUCCAGCCAUACCGCGUGGGUGAAGAAGGCCUUCGGGUUGUAAAGCCCUUUUGUUGGGAAAGAAAAGCAGCAGGUUAAUACCCCGCUGUUCUGACGGUACCCAAAGAAUAAGCACCGGCUAACUUCG
rnacentral:rRNA from 1 species